rfam:Salmo salar isolate Sally breed double haploid chromosome ssa16, whole genome shotgun sequence.
UGCAUUCACUACUGUAAGUUGCUCUGGAUAAGAGUGUCUGCAAAAUGACUAGAA